AACCCCGAUUGUUGCGCUGUUAAUGGGGCUCGGUUUUUCAUACUCUGGCGAUUUUGGGGGUAUAAUUUUAUUACUUAUCUGAACUGUUGCGAGUACAUGCAGUAAUGGGAGUUUUGCAAUAAUGGAGUUUCUGUAAAUUGCAUCAGAUUGGGUAUGAGUUUUCUCAAAAUGAGUGUUUGUUCUUUGUUUUACUAUGUGGAUGUUAAUUGGAAAUUAAGUGCUUUGUAUUAAAGCAGUCAUUCUAGUCAAAUAUGGAUUGAGAAGUAUUUUCAAAUUAUAUUAAGAAGGAUUUUUUUUCCUCAACACCAUCAUAGGCACAAGAAAAAGCAUUUUGAUUUCUGGUAUUAAUUUUGAACAGAUUAGUACAGAAUUUCCUGCUAGAAACAUGUUUGGCAAUGCUUUCUUUUGAUUCGGUGAGGACAUGUUGCUAAAUUUUUAAACUUAAAUUUAUAAUUAUGCAUUAAUUUCCUUUAGUUUUUCUGUGGAAACUGGAAGUUUGGAUCCUUUUAUGGUUCUUAACUGAAUUCAUAUGCUAGAUUGAAGAUAUGAGGACAAGUUAUAUAGUUGGUGAAAUGCUGGAUUCAGAAUAAAAUAGUGGGCCCUGCAUAAAUUGAAUUGGAGGGAAAAUGAUUGCCUGAGCGUAAAUUGAAAUCGUUGUUAGUUUUGAAUUUUACUUUGAACCUUUGAUAUGAACUCGUGGAACAAUUAGGUUUUUUUAUUUUAUUUAUUUUAUUUUAUAUUUUAAAUUGGUAUGAACUUAGCAAGUAUCUGGUACUACAUUGAUUACUUCAUCCUUUUUGUUAUUUUCUUGAAGUUUUUAGCAUUCUAUUCACAUGAUUCCUAAGUUUAGAAGAGGGAAGUAUGGAAGCUUUUUCUUGUAAAAGAUAUUCUUAUAUUCUUGCUGUAUUCAUAAAUGUUUAUCUAAUUCAUUGAGAGUUGAAAGUGAGUCAAAUGUAGUUUGCUAGGCAAUGUUGUAUUAAGUUGCUCAAUUUUGUUAUAUGCAUUGGUUAACACAACUGAAAGUUCUGUUCUUUUUGGUAUUUCAGAUAAAUUAUUGGUUGGUGAUUUUUUCCCCCUUUAUUGCAUGUAUGUCAAGCAGUUGGGCUAUCUCCUUGAAUUAUUACUCAAUUUUCCCUAGGCAAUAAAUGCUGGAUAGCUGCACUCAUAGAAUUGUUGAUUUUAUAGUUUGCGUGAUGACGUACUCAAAGUGUGUUCAUAGAUUCUGUGUACUGAAAGCACGCUUUAUAGGUAAUGUAUUUUGUAAUAGACAGAUGUGAUUACCAUUGCUGUUGCUAUAUGGAAUGAUUGAAAGUAAAUUGAGAGGGUUUCCAGAUCUUUUGUUUUGGGACAAUUGUUGUUGUGUUACGGUCAUGCUUUAGCAUGAAAUUGGUUGUGUCUAAAAUUGCUUUUUCUUUUCUUUCUGUUUCAAAAAGGGAGUGGCUCCAAGCGUAUGCUGCUUCCUUCAAUGGAGCGUCAACUUCUAAAAAUAUCAUAGGACAUAGCUAAGUUACACACACCACUAAUGAGGCGUGCAAGAGAAUCAGACCACAGGUGACUGAAGUCCUUGAACAGCCAACUGAUUAAAAUGGAUGUGCUUCCAAUUGCAUUCUCAAUUUGUCUUUGCUGGUGAUGAUUUCUAAAGCCCAUAUGGCAGCAUUGGGACUUGAAGGCAUCGGCUUAUGCUGGAAGCUAUGUUGAAUCACUUUGUCAUUGGAUUAGUUGAUUUGAUUGAUUUGAUUGACCUCCAAAGUUUAUCCAUUAUUUCUGUGGCCAUGAAAUUAAUGCCGAAAGUUAUAAUGUACAAUAGAGCCUCAAAAUAAUUAUCUGGCUAUGGCUUGCUAGGAUUUUGAGUGUUAUGAUUAGGUUGAUACUCCCUGCCUCCAAAUGCUGAGAGAAAAUGGCUUUUUCUCCAGGAAAAGAAGUUCACGACCCAUGGGCAGCAUUGGGACUUGAAGGCAUCGGCUUAUGCUGGAAGCUAUGUUGAAUCACUUUGUCAUUGGAUUAGUUGAUUUGAUUGAUUUGAUUGACCUCCAAAGUUUAUCCAUUAUUUCUGUGGCCAUGAAAUUAAUGCCGAAAGUUAUAAUGUACAAUAGAGCCUCAAAAUAAUUAUCUGGCUAUGGCUUGCUAGGAUUUUGAGUGUUAUGAUUAGGUUGAUACUCCCUGCCUCCAAAUGCUGAGAGAAAAUGGCUUUUUCUCCGGGAAAAGAAGUUCACGACCCAUGGGCCUUCUAGCUCCAUGCGGCAUUGCUCCGUCAGGCCUUUGCCCAGUGAAACACUAUUGGUGCUGAAUCAAGGGUUAUUUCCAGCGGCAUUAGAAGAUAUUAUGUGUAUAAUUUAACUGCUCUAAUGACUGGUUAAAGUUUCUGUCGGAAUUAUUCAACUCAGGAUUGAGGAGUCUCUUUCAUGUUUUAUUCUUGCAAUGAGGGACAUAUGCUCAUUGUAUGAUUAUGGGCCCAUAUCCACGUGGUGCAGAAAAGUUGGUAACUCGACAGUGAUUGAACAUUGUGAAAUACCCUUCAUUAGGUUUUAUAAAGAAAUCUUUGUUGGUCACUUGCUCGUGAUUGAACAAUGUGAAAUACAUAUCAGGCUCUAUAGCGAAAUCUUCUCUUAUAAUUUGGCUUUGUGCGAAAUUUUCUAGGAUAGAGAUGUGGAAAACGCUAUAUUAUACUGUAUUUUUUUUUGGCAGCAGAGAGUUAGGUGCACUUAGAGGAAAGCUUAGUGAUUUGUAUUUUUGCAGAUUUUUCUCUUGUUGCUGUGCAAUUGGAUUUUAUUGUCACCCUUCGAGUUGUCAUUGGAGGUUUUGCAGAUGAAUUGUCAUGAACUAUUAAUAACUUUCAGUUAUGCCAGAUAAAAUUCAAAUCUGACAUAUAUUUUACAUCAUCUGGUUCCUAUGUAUAUCCGAUUUAGAGCAAAG
rnacentral:lncRNA from 1 species